ensembl:lncRNA
ACCAGACACCACAAAGGAUUGAGCGCAGGCGAUGGAGACCUGGGCAGCCUGACAGCUGGACUGGGCACGGUCUUGGAGGGGAUGAAGACUGUGCUCACCUUCACAGUGAUGGACGCCUGAAUGACCAGCACUGCUCCACCAGGAUGCGCUUCAUCUGUCAGAAACACAGCCUGAAUAUUUGAACACAUUCGUUGUCCUGGCUCCGCCCAUAAACUGCUCUCCAUCUGUUGUUUAUUAAAACAGAAAAUUUCUCUUUAAACUAUAGGACAGAAAAAAGUUAUCAUAUUAAGUAGAAUUCCUCUAAUGUGGACUUCCUGUUCCAUAGUGGGGCGCUGUUGAGCUUGACCAGAAUGAAUGGGACUCCAUGAUUUUACAGGUUGUGUUGUUGUGAUAGUAAAAUACUUUUCUGUGAAUAUUAGGGACAUCACACCACCAGCUCCAGUUUAUUCCAGAUCACUAAGCCUAACCCUGUUUAGGUUUGUCACAAUCUCUUAUUAACUAAAAUAUAUUGGAUUGGAUAUUUACUAUAGAAAAUAGAAGAGCAUUAUGUUAGCUCUUUAAAAUGAACCUUUAUAUUCAAGCGCUGAGCAAAAGUAUCAGAAGGCUUCACCCACCACCAUUCAAACUGAACAGGCUUACUGUGUGCAUGUUUUAGAUAGUAUACAAGGGUCACUGUGAUGUCACACAUGGAUAAUAGACUCACCAUGUUGGGUUUUUGGUGCCAGAAACAAUAUGCAGAAUGGGUGGAGUGUUAAGUUAUCAGUUGGGUGCAUCACACAGGCACAAAUGCCUGUUAAUUACUGCCGAGGAAGAUUAAGAUAAAAUCCUAGAUUUUCACUGACCAAAAUUGGAGCUCUGACUUCUUGGAUGAUUUGUUAACUGCACUGGAGCCUUGCGUUUGUUAAGAUAAUUUCAUCAAAUGCUCCACAACACAACACAAACAUAAUCCAGAGCUGGAGUUCAGAGUGCCUAGCAGACAGUUAGUAACUGUUUAUGAAAGGGCCCACCUUGAGAUAAUUUAAACAGGUGAAUUACAAAAUUUUCCAUUCUGUACAGUAGUUACAAAAGGUCAAACAUCUUUACAAACAAGGAUACAAUUUCAACCUAAAUAAAAAGUAUCCUGCCAUCCAUCCAUUCUCAUCCAUUCUUCUCAGGGUUGCAGGGUGGGGGGGGGGGUUGGAGCGUAUCCAAGCUACCACAGGACGAGAGGAAGGGUACACCCUGGACAUGUCACCAGUCUGUCAUAGGCCCAACACAUACAGACAGACAACCAGAAUCACCAAAUUAACCUAACCCCACAAAUUGAAUGUCUUUGUACAGUGGGAGGGAGCUGGAGUCCACGGAGGGAGGAUCAGCAAUUGAACAUGAAAGUUAUUUGUAGUUGUGGUUGCUCGUUUUCCUUUUGUUUUUCUUUGUUUAUUUGUCUCUUUUUAAUUCUAUGUUGUUGUACUUUUUCAGCAUGUUCAAAAUAAAGAUUCAAUCAAAUCAAUCAAAUCAAAUCAAACCCUGUGGAACUCCACAACCUGAGAGAGAACACUCUGUGAUGUCCCAUUGUUUUCAGUAGGAGAAAAACAACAUCAAGAUUAACACAAUCAACUUUCUGGGACUUCCUUGCGAGGAUGAUUGAUAAUUGCAUCAAGAAAUUCUGUGGGUGUUUUUCUUUUUUAGGAUUUCUUGAGUUUUGGCUUCUAAUUUCCUUUGUUAGAUUUCUGAUGUUCUUAGGUUCGCUCAGUGCUUCCCUGUCUUUGUUUUGUCUGUUGCCUUUGACCUCUUCUCUCGGUUAUUUUGUUUAGGGCUGUCUUCAUGUCUCAUUAUUAUCAAAGUUAGUCUCUGAUGGGUUUUUUUUUCUAGAUUUACUUUGCUUUGUGUUUCUUUCCAGUUAUAUGCCCUGCCCUCAUUGUCUCAACCUUUGAUUGCUCUUACCUGUGCCCUGCUCCCUCCAGCAUCCAAUUGCACACUUAAAACUUCAGCUUACUUAAAAAAAAAAAAGUCUGUCCUUCGUUUUUGUAAAAUUAUUUGUCAAUAUUUUUUUCAGCUUGCAUCCUUUCUAUGUUGGAUGACCCGAGUCACCUGACAACUUUUGCAGUGUUUUUAGUUUACAUUUUCACUUGUAAUAAAGUUGCUUUUGCAUCUC